rnacentral:rRNA from 1 species
GAAACGAUAGCUAAUACCGCAUGAAAUUGAUUAUUGCAUGAUAAUUAAUUGAAAGAUGCAAUUGCAUCACUACCAGAUGGACCUGCGUUGUAUUAGCUAGUUGGUGAGGUAACGGGCUCACCAAGGCGACGAUACAUAGCCGACCUGAGAGGGUGAUCGGCCACACUGGAACUGAGACACGGUCCAG